rnacentral:Y_RNA from 1 species
ACAUCGAAUGCCUGUGGAACUACAUCCCUUCUGGAGGACGAGGUCGUGGGUUCGAAUCCCACCCGGGCUCGCCAAUAAUAUGGCCCGGUAGCUCAGUUCGGUAGAGCGCGUAAACGUUUCACAUCUUUUGUCGAUGUAUC